AUGGUGAUCAUUGUCUUACUAACAUAUCAAAUGUUUGCGAUUACUGCCUUGCAGGUCCUAUUUGAGGAGCAAGAAUUUAUCAAACUUGCUGUUAAACAGGGUUUUACUGAGGCCGUUCAAGAAAUGGAACAGCGCAGUACUUGCCAAACGCCCCUUCAGAAGGGGGUGUUUGACACUGCUAUUGUUGGUCUUAAAAGGGAUCUGGAAUUGGCUUCUAAAACUACCAUGCAAGAACUGAAAAAUGGCUCUGAUGAAAAGUUUGAAUCGGCCAUGGACAGCUUGACAGAAAAGCUGAAUGUUUUUAUGCGAACAUAUGAAGACAUGUUUUCUGUUUAUGAGGUAGUAGAUGUGGCUUCACGAACUGACACCACUAUGGAAGGAGAUGAGCCUGAUCAAACAAACUCAACCAUGGAAGGGGGUGAUGCUGAUGCGACAAAGUUUACCAUGGAAGUAGCUAAGGCUGAUAGUACAAACAUUAUAAAGUAA
rnacentral:rRNA from 1 species